AGCGAACGUUUGCGGCGGGCUUAACACAUGCAAGUCGAACGAGAAUCCCUUCGGGGAGGAAAGUGGCGCACGGGUGCGUAACACGUGGAUAACCAACCCAUUGGUUUGGGACAACACCGGGAAACUGGUGCUAAUACCAGAUGUGUCGCAGCUGUCUUCAGGCGGUUGCGAGAAAGGCCCGCAAGGGUCGCCAACGGACGGGUCCGCGUCCCAUCAGCUAGUUGGUGAGGUAAUGGCUCACCAAGGCAAAGACGGGUAGCUGGUCUGAGAGGAUGAUCAGCCACACUGGAACUGAGACACGGUCCAGACUCCUACGGGAGGCAGCAGUGGGGAAUAUUGCGCAAUGGGCGAAAGCCUGACGCAGCCACGCCGCGUGAGCGAUGAAGGUCUUCGGAUCGUAAAGCUCUGUGGGGGGAGAAGAAGAAAGCCGGUGAAGAGCCGGCCCUGACGGUAUCCCCUUAGCAAGCACGGCUAACUCCGUGCCAGCAGCCGCGGU
rnacentral:rRNA from 1 species